CUGCAACAAUGUUGGACAGAGAUAUGCUUGCUAUGGCUGGAAAUUGGUACCAUGUCGGUUGGUUUUGCUUGGCAAGAUUUGUGACGAUGCGUCGGACAAACAACAUUGGGAUAAGAUACAGCCUUGAGCCUUGGCAAGUUAACACAUUAGUUAGGGUUAUGAAGUUUUUCAUGGCACCGACACAUUAUUGAGCAGUAGCGCAUCAGAUGACCAGUGUAUAUCUCUACUUGAGGAAUUCUCCAAAGAUCCAGAGCCGAUUGUUUCAUAGAGCUGUGAAGUUGCUCUAAACAUACUGGAUUUUGA